rnacentral:rRNA from 1 species
GACGAACGCUGGCGGCGUGCUUAACACAUGCAAGUCGAACGGAAAGGCCCUGCUUUUGUGGGGUGCUCGAGUGGCGAACGGGUGAGUAACACGUGAGUAACCUGCCCUUGACUUUGGGAUAACUUCAGGAAACUGGGGCUAAUACCGGAUAGGAGCUCCUGCUGCAUGGUGGGGGUUGGAAAGUUUCGGCGGUUGGGGAUGGACUCGCGGGUUAUCAGCUUGUUGGGGGGGUAGUGGCUUACCAAGGCUUUGACGGGUAGCCGGCCUGGGAGGGUGACCGGCCACAUUGGGACUGAGAUACGGCCCAGACUCCUACGGGAGGCAGCAGUGGGGAAUAUUGCACAAUGGGCGGAAGCCUGAUGCAGCAACGCCGCGUGCGGGAUGACGGCCUUCGGGUUGUAAACCGCUUUCGCCUGUGACGAAGCGUGAGUGACGGUAAUGGGUAAAGAAGCACCGGCUAACUACGUG